GGGCAUGUGGUGUAGGGGUAUCACGUCUGCUUCGCAUGCAGAAGGCCCCGGGUUCAAUUCCCGGCAUGUCCA
rnacentral:tRNA from 1 species